rnacentral:rRNA from 1 species
GAUGAACGCUGGCGGCGUGCCUAAUACAUGCAAGUCGAGCGAACGGACGAGAAGCUUGCUUCUCUGAUGUUAGCGGCGGACGGGUGAGUAACACGUGGAUAACCUACCUAUAAGACUGGGAUAACUUCGGGAAACCGGAGCUAAUACCGGAUAAUAUUUUGAGCCGCAUGGUUCAAAAGUGAAAGACGGUCUUGCUGUCACUUAUAGAUGGAUCCGCGCUGCAUUAGCUAGUUGGUAAGGUAACGGCUUACCAAGGCAACGAUGCAUAGCCGACCUGAGAGGGUGAUCGGGCACACUGGAACUGAGACACGGUCCAGACUCCUACGGGAGGCAGCAGUAGGGAAUCUUCCGCAAUGGGCGAAAGCCUGACGGAGCAACGCCGCGUGAGUGAUGAAGGUCUUCGGAUCGUAAAACUCUGUUAUUAGGGAAGAACAUAUGUGUAAGUAACUGUGCACAUCUUGACGGUACCUAAUCAGAAAGCCACGGCUAACUACGUG